CCUACGGGGGGCAGCAGUGGGGAAUAUUGCGCAAUGGGCGAAAGCCUGACGCAGCGACGCCGCGUGCGGGAUGAAGGUCUUCGGAUCGUAAACCUCUGUCAGCAGGGAAGUACGGUCACUGUGCUAAUCAGCAGUGAAUUGACGGUACCUGUAAAGGAAGCACCGGCUAACUCCGUGCCAGCAGCCGCGGUAAUACGGAGGGUGCGAGCGUUAAUCGGAAUUACUGGGCGUAAAGCGCUCGUAGGCGGUAUGUCAAGUCAAGGGUGAAAUCCCCGCGCUCAACGUGGGAACUGCGUUUGAAACUGGCAAACUGGAGUGUGUGAGAGGAAAGUGGAAUUCCAGGUGUAGGAGUGAAAUGCGUAGAUAUCUGGAGGAACAUCAGUGGCGAAGGCGACUAUCUGGCACAUAACUGACGCUGAGGAGCGAAAGCGUGGGUAGCAAACAGGAUUAGAUACCCCUGUAGUC
rnacentral:rRNA from 1 species